rnacentral:rRNA from 1 species
AACGAACGCUGGCGGCAUGCCUAACACAUGCAAGUCGAACGAGACCUUCGGGUCUAGUGGCGCACGGGUGCGUAACGCGUGGGAACCUGCCCUUAGGUUCGGAAUAACCCCCCGAAAGGGGUGCUAAUCCCGGAUAAUGUCUUCGGACCAAAGAUUUAUCGCCUUUGGAUGGGCCCGCGUUGGUUUAGCUGGUUGGUAGGGUAAAAGCCUACGAAGGCGACGAUCCAUAGCUGGUCUGAGAGGAUGAUCAGGCACACUGGGACUGAGACACGGCCCAGACUCCUACGGGAGGCAGCAGGGGGGAAUAUUGGACAAUGGGCGAAAGCCUGAUCCAGCAAUGCCGCGUGAGUGCUGAAGGCCAUAGGGUUGUAAAGCUCUUUUACCCGGGAUGAUAAUGACAGUACCGGGAGAAUAAGCUCCGGCUAACUCCGUG